CCUACGGGGUGCAGCAGUGGGGAAUAUUGGACAAUGGGCGAAAGCCUGAUCCAGCAAUGCCGCGUGUGUGAAGAAGGUCUUCGGAUUGUGAAGCACUUUCGACGGGGACGAUGAUGACGGUACCCGUAGAAGAAGCCCCGGCUAACUUCGUGCCAGUAGCCGCGGUAAUGCGAAGGGGGCUAGCGUUGCUCGGAAUGACUGGGCGUAAGGGGCGCGUAGGCGGUUUAUGCAGUCAGAUGUGAAAUCCCUGGGCUUAACCUGGGAACUGCAUUUGAGACGCAUAGACUAGAGGUCGAGAGAGGGUUGUGGAAUUCCCAGUGUAGAGGUGGAAUUCGUAGAUAUUGGGAAGAACACCGGUGGCGAAGGCGGCAACCUGGCUCGAUACUGACGCUGAGGCGCGAAAGCGUGGGGAGCAAACAGGAUUAGAUACCCCAGUAGUC
rnacentral:rRNA from 1 species